CCCCUAGAUGUUCUGGGCCGCACGCGCGCUACACUGAACAGUUCAACAAGUCUUAACCUUGGCCGAUAGGUCUGGGUAAUCUUUGAACGCUGUUCGUGAUUGGGAUAGACCUUUGCAAUUAUGGGUCUUCAACGAGGAAUUCCUAGUAAACGCAAGUCAUCAGCUUGCAUUGAUUACGUCCCCGCCCUUUGUACACACCGCCCGUCGCACCUACCGAUUGAAUGGUCCGGUGAAAUCUCGGGACGGCGGCUUGGUCGCUUGCGUCCGACUGCUGAAACUUGAUUAAACCAUNUNAUUUAUNGGAAGGUGAANUCGUANCA
rnacentral:rRNA from 1 species